AAACAAACAGGCAAACAGAAACACUGGUCCAGCUAAUGUGAAAGGCAAUAUUAUUUGUGAAUAGAUUGUAAAAAAAAUGCAGCUUUUAACGGUAAAUAGCUAAAAUUAAACAUGUAUAUGCAAUCCGCACACCAAUGGCAUUGGUUGAGUUCCUUUUCCCUAACCCCUCCCACUUACCCUCCCCACCAAUCAGCUCUUUUCUUCAAUCUUAGUGACAAUUUCCAAAAAAAUAUUUAUUCCUUUUAUUUAUAUUUUAUACCAUUUGUGUCCUCUUUACUAUUCACAGUCUAUCAGCAGUUGUCUUUAAUAGUUAUGUCCUUUUGAAUCCUUUGCCCCAGUGUGGCUCGCUGUGUGUGUGUAGCCAUGCGGAGGUGUGAUGUGUGUUGUGUGUGCUGCGCUGUUGUUUGCAGGGGGAGAGGGGCAAGAGAGGCAACAGGGGGUCCAAGGGGGAUAAGGGAGACCAAGGAGCCCCCGGACUAGAUGCCCCGUGUCCGUUGGGUGAGGACGGUCUACCUGUACCGGGCUGUUGGAAUAAAUGACAUUAAUCCCAGAAUACAGUGUGUGUGAUUGUACAUAGAAUAUUUAUUUUUGUACUUUGUAUUUGCUCUCUUAUACUGAUUGUUAAAAAAAAACUCACAAAAAGCAAACAUGCAACAAAAAAAAAUACAAGGCAGUUUUUUUGUACAGAUUGUUUAUUUUUUAUUACUGCUAUGUUGUUUAUGUAAUGGAUUUUUAUACCUAUGCAUUAUUUCUAAAUAUUUUGAUUAAGAAAGAAAUAUACUGUUGCUGCAUACGCAUGAUAUUUGUGCAUAAUGAGAACUGAUAUUGCUUUAUUAACUUAUUGUAUCAGGACUUGUGUUGUGUUGUAUGCCCCCAGGUAGAAUCCUGCUCUUGAUGCGGGUCAGACCCAGGCCAGAACCGGGUUAAAAGUUGGGUUCUCACCGGCCCAGAACCGGGUCAAAUCCGCCUCAGAGUGGGGUUCUACCCGGCCUAGAACCGGGUCAAAUCCGCCUCUGAUUGGGGUUCUACCCGGCCUAGAACCGGGUCAAAUCCGCCUCAGAGUGGGGUUCUACCCGGGUUAAAACCGGGUCAAAUCCGCCUCAGAGUAGGGUUCUACCCGGGUUAGACCACGCUGCACUGACCCACCAGUGGAGCUGGAUUGAAAUGUUGGCUUUUGGUUUUGUAAACGUUUGCAAGAGAUUAAAAUGGAGCCACUAGCAUGAGCUGGCAGCACCCCAUGAGCACUGACACCAUUACAUGUCCAUCUUAACCAUGAGUCACACACCUGCCCUACCACUGGCAAACCAUGCAGUAGACAGUAGGUGGAUCAAUAAUCAAUCAACCUGAUUGAUUAAUCCUCACAAACUAUCUCAUGUUCUAGACUAGAGGAGAUACUGAGACCAUUUGUUCCAGUCGUCAGUUCGAAGGCAGCUUUAUUUGACUGUUCUACCUGGAGUACUUCCUGUAGUUAUCGACUGCUCUAUUCCUUGCUCCGAGAUUCAGUCGAAAUGUAUUCCGAAAAAAUGUUGGGAAUUUAAUUAAUCCAACCUAUUAAAUACACACAUGGGUUAGCUAGCAAGUCAAACAUGAUUCCAUUUUAAUCUCAGAGUAAACAAAGAGCUUUUUGUUCAGAUGUCUGGUUGUAAAUGAACUGGUUUAGGUUUGGUUGAGCUUAAUAUAGGCUACAGUAAAUGCUAAGCUUUAGUCAGAGAUAGAAGAAUGCUGACGCUGCUUCGCUCUCCGCUGCCCCUGGCCAGCAGUGUAAGCUGACCUCACAGCCAAGCCAAUGACCCCUCCUCUUCAAAGAUGAGGAUACACAGGGCCACUUUUGGAGCCAUGUUGCUGGCAAGAUCCCUGACCGCUAUUGUUCUAGAACGUUCCAUGUUGCUGGCAAGAUUCCUGACCACUAUUGUUCUAGAACGUUCCAUAUUGCUGGCAAGAUUCCUGACUGCUAUUGUUCUAGAACGUUCCAUGUUGCUGGCAAGAUCCCUGACCCACUGAUCUAUAAAGAAUACCUGGAUAGACUAUCUCAUUGUUGCUGACCCAUCAACAAUGAAGCCAAUGGAACUGUCCAGAGUGGUCCCAUAAUGGCGGCGAUGUGUUCCAAUUCCAUUGUUGCAGAACGGCAACAUUCUUUUACUGUCUUUUACUGUCUAUGCAUUCCUAUGGCAAGUGGUCCCAUAAUGGCCGCCGCCAUGUAGGCUUCAGAAUUUUGACGUAGAUGCUCUAUCCAGGUAUUCUUUAUAGAUCAGUGCCCUGACCGCUAUUGUUCUAGAACGUUCCAUGUUGCUGGCAAGAUUCCUUAGCAUUAUUGUUCUGGAAUGUUGCCACUGAUAUUUGGAUAUUCUUAUGUUUUUCUUUUUUUUCUGGUAAACUUCUGUCAUCAGUUGGCAGAUUGUCAUGAUUCAGUCAGAACACAUGGAACUGGUUAUGGUUGCCCAGCAACACUGCUCAGAGGUUUGGCCCUCUGGAUCAUCACUGUUGGAUCGCUAGAUGUGUGUAUAUAUGGCCAGAUAUGUGGAUGCAUAUUCUGCCUCCGUGUUGAAAUGAAUCAGGCUAUAUUUAAUUUGUAUUUGUCUUUCUUUUCUUAGAAUUUAUCGGUCGACAUUAUGGUUAUUACGGUUAUUAUAAUCCUGCUCCCGCGGAUGUGUGUCUGUAGUUAUAAAUGGUAUAUAUUCUAUACGUCCGUGUGUAUGUUAUGGACCUGGUGGUCAACGGCGCUCAGCUGACCAUCUUAUUUAAAUGAAGACGACGCCAAACAAAGCCGCCCGUGGACUUUUCGCCCUCCCACCCCCAUUCAGUUCAGCGUUUUGUGUUUAUUUGAAGUGUAUUUCGGAGGAUUGAAUCCUGUCGAGCCGCCUCUGACGAGUGUUCUAAGAGUUUCGUCUUAGCGGCGUUGAAUAGCUAAACUAAACUAAACUAAACCAGUGUUGUGUUCAAGGGGCUCAUUUGACUGGAGAGGGUACCCAGAAACUGCUGCUCAGUUUGACAAGCUCUGUAUGUGUGUGUGUGUGUGUGUGUGUGUGUACAGUAUGUGUGUACUGUAUGUGUGUGUGUGUGUGUGUGUGUGUAUGUGUGUGCCAAAUGUAACUGGAUUAACACUGGUAUCAAAUGACCAGAUUUAAUAAAAACGCCAUCAGUUAGAAAUGCCUCACACUACAUCAGUGCUCCUCUUGCUCUCCUUCUCCCUCUGUCCUUCUCUUUCUUUCUCUGUCCUUCUUUCUCUCCCUUGCCCUCUCUCUCUCUCUCUCUCUCUCUCUCUCUCUCUCUCUCUUGCUCUGUGCUUAUGUCGGUCAUGUCCAGCUAUUCUGAAUGUAAUAUGGACCUCAUGAAGAAUCAACUUCUCUUGACAGGAAGUUAACAUACUGUAAGGUCGCAGGACCUCAAGAUUGCCAUCCGAAAAAGGCCGAGAGAAAUCCUAAUAAGAUGCCUUCAUAGCCUACAUGAGGAUUUGCAAUCUCUUCUUGUGUUUUACUAUACCUUGGCAUCUCUCAUUAAGACAGUCCAUUUGCUAUGUGCUGUAUGUCUGCGUGUGUGUAAGAUAUUUACCAUCCAGUUUCCUAUUAAAAAAACAAGCUUCCGCCAACC